AGCAGCCGCGGUAAUUCCAGCUCCAUAGCGUAUAUUAAAGUUGCUGCAGUUAAAAGCUCGUAGUUGAAUUUCGGGACCAUCAUGUCGGUCGUGCCUCGGUACGUACUGGUAUUGUUGGUUUCUCCCUUCUGACGAACCAUGAUGUCAUUUAUUUGGUGUUGUGGGAAAUCAGGACUGUUACUUUGAAAAAAUUAGAGUGUUUAAAGCAGGCUCGCGCUUGAAUACAUUAGCAUGGAAUAAUGAAAUAGGACGUGUGGUUCUAUUUUGUUGGUUUCUAGGACCGCCGUAAUGAUUAAUAGGGACAGUCGGGGGCAUCAGUAUUCAAUUGUCAGAGGUGAAAUUCUUGGAUUGACUCAAGACCAACUACUGCGAAAGCAUUUGCCAAGGAUGUUUUCAUUAAUCAGUGAACGAAAGUUAGGGGAUCGAAGACGAUCAGAUACCGUCGUAGUCUUAACCAUAAACUAUGCCGACUAGGGAUCGGGCGGUGUUAUUAUUUUGACUCGCUCGGCACCUUACGAGAAACCAAAGUGUUUGGGUU
rnacentral:rRNA from 1 species